UACGUAGGGACCAAGCGUUGUUCGGAAUUAUUGGGCGUAAAGCGCACGUAGGCGGCUCUGCAAGUCGGAUGUGAAAUCCCUCGGCUCAACCAAGGAAGUGCAUCCGAAACUGCGGAGCUUGAGUACUUAAGAGGAUCGCGGAAUUCCCGGUGUAGAGGUGAAAUUCGUAGAUAUCGGGAGGAACACCAGUGGCGAAGGCGGCGAUCUGGGAAGAUACUGACGCUGAGGUGCGAAAGCGUGGGGAGCAAACAGG
rnacentral:rRNA from 1 species